AUUCUUGGACAUGAAUUCUAUUUUUACAUGGUCUAAGUAAGUGGUCGGGCUUCUGGAAUCUCAACAGAAUUUUCCAUUUGCACAUUAACAUAUGGCAAAGUUCGGACCAGUCAAUUGAGGCAACAUUAGGAGAAGGAUUUGCUUGUAACUUAUUUCAGGGUAGGUGGUAACUCUUCGGUAAAGAUUGUUCAGAGACACCACUUUACGUCUCACUUUAAAGGGCCAACAUGAUGAGCUUGAAGCGAAGAUUUUUGAGGAGAGGGCUGCUCGUGAAGCUAAAUACCAGAAGCUUUAUGAAAAACUUUUCCCCAAGAGAAAGGAGUACCACAACAAUAGCAUAAAUCAUGGGCUUGUUCUUGAUUACAAAACCACACUUCAAGUUGGUCUAGCUGUUGUUGUGCUUGAAGGCUUACUCCAGAUUUUCUUAUUUAAGUUCUUAGAUGGCGUAACAUCCUCGUUUAAUUGGAUGAUGCUCUGCUGCGACAAGUUUGGAGCAAAAAGGUUGGAGAACAAGGCAGACAUUAGGUUGCAGUAAGUUUCUAUGUACAUUCUAAGUUAAAUAAAUUUGUGAACGUAGGAAUUUCUAUGAACUGAUACUUAGAAGAAUUUGUAUA